GCUAAGAAUUACAGUUAUAUAAGAACACGCAAACUUCCAGUGUCUCCCAUGGCUGGUAUUUUUUGUAUUGCGUAUGUGAUAUUGUGAAAUCUAGGGACCAAAUUCAGCUCUUUGGCAAGCAAGUGGCCUUGUUGACACUUAAAACAGGUCAAAGAAAGAAUAGAUCUCCACUCCAUUUGUGGGUAUCGCGCCCUAUACCUGCUGUGAACCACUGCUGGGACUACACAUUCAAGAAGAUGAUGCAGUUAGAACUGUGUUUCAUCAGAAGCUGA
rnacentral:lncRNA from 1 species